rnacentral:rRNA from 1 species
UACGGGGGGGGCAAGCGUUGUUCGGAAUUACUGGGCGUAAAGGGCUCGUAGGUGGCCAACUAAGUCGGACGUGAAAUCCCUCAGCUUAACUGGGGAACUGCGUCCGAUACUGGAUGGCUUGAAUCCGGGAGAGGGAUGCAGAAUUCCAGGUGUAGCGGUGAAAUGCGUAGAUAUCUGGAGGAAUACCGGUGGCGAAGGCGGCAUCCUGGACCGGCAUUGACGCUGAGGAGCGAAAGCCAGGGGAGCAAACGGG